AGAUGCUUUCGCUUCUGCAGGGUGCCGCUUCUGGAAUGCCGUAGAUAGUCACUGGCAACGAGACCGGGUAGAGGUAGCGGUGGCGCGAUUUCCAGCUGUAUACGGGUUGCUUGGAAACUUCCGGGGGAGUCUGGAACGGUUUAGAGAUCCUCAAGCCCGAAACCUAUGGACGUGGUGCUCGGCGGCGAUCGGUGUCUGCGCUGCUGCCUGACGCUGCAGAGACCGCAAGGGAGCUCGCGUAUCCGGUCUUCUUCCGUUCUCCAGUGCGACCGGGUUUGAAAAGCGUGACACGUGAACUCUCGGGGUUACACUAUUGCCCUCGAACGUAAAGUUUUCUCAGGAGAGUGGCCUCGGAACCCCAUGAGGCUGGAUUGUGGCAUGAUAAUCUCGUCAUUUAUAUCGAGUAAUAGUACAGUAUUCUCGUUCACCCUUUCCCCAGGAAAACCUUUCCAGUUGUAUCUGAACCCCGCCCGAGUCUCGUUGCAUGGCCCAGCCCAUACCAUUGCAGUAUCGUGCUGCGGGACGUCAUGCAACUCUGUGGCUCCAGGCCACUGAUUUCUUCAUCGCAAGCCUUUUGCGUUGCAGCACACUGCCCAUACGGUGUACGGAACGAUUCCCGGGGAAGUUCGCUCCACACAGCGCCGCUAGACGCUGCCCAUGCGCGAGGACUAUAUCGUAAGAUCGAUUCUCUUUGCUGUCGAUGUCAGGCGCACACAUACACACACCAGACCGACUUGCCCACAGCGCCGCACAGUGUCGCGUCCAUAAGCGCGCCGCCGCUGCUACUCGAAUACUGGACCAGCACCAGCAGCAAAUCAAAUGCCUUUACGUUGACUAGGUGAACACAUAGGGUCGAUCCAUUUGCACACGCGCAAUAUCCUUUGCCAGAGAUUCGUGCCUAUGAUACAGGAAGGUUGACGGCUUUGGCCCGAGGAGGUCGCCUGUGGAACAUCGGCCUGGUUCCCGCUUUCUGCUUAUCGACGACGUUAGCACGACCGCCUUGCAGGAUGCUCUCGAAUGCGGCACCGUCCCCGUAGAUCCGCAUGGUACGAGACGCACUCGGCGAUAUUGAAAUGAGUCUGCAUGGGGUUGCCCGCGCACACGCAGUGGCAGCACGUCUGAUGCCGUGUAGCCAAUUGCUGCCGCUGUAGACGAAGGCGCUGGAGCAGCGCCAAACAGACCCGCAACCCCUUGGCGGCCGAGAGCGGACGGCAUGAUCAGCUGUGUUGGGGUUGCUCGGCGCGGUUCGGCAUCAUCCCCCGAGGCAAGCCUCCGACGUGAUUCCCUGUGCAGUGGCGGUCAUUACAUCAUUCGACGCCGACGGGCGGGCGUAUGGCAACUCGAAGCAGAAGGCAACGAGGCUCCCACCCGUGUCGCUGUGACGUUUGUUAAAUGGUGUGCGCAUAGGCAUCUCUACGAAGGUGGCGCUGCCGCAGACUUGAGAUUUGGAUCCUUCUUGAUAAGCUCUUCUGCCUCGCGUUGCUCCCGUGCCAUCGCCUCGGUGAACUGCCGAUCCAAGCUACGAGCCGCAGCCAGCCACAUGAUGAUGAUGGAUGCGAGAAAGACCGCGAGGAAUGGCGUGCUGGCGGCCAAGGAUCCAGUAGCGAAAAUAAGGGCUUGCUGGAUGAAUGAGCCUCCCGACUUGCCCAGCGGGUUCCCGAUCACAUCGAUGGCAGCUUUGCCCUUGCUCUUCGACUCUGCAUCCAGUGGGAUAUACGCCAUCUCCUUGCAAGGAUCAAACAGGGAAUACUUGCUGCCCUUUGAAGCGAUGUUCUGCGCCGCACCGAUGAGUACCGCCAGGAAGAGAGGCGUCGUGCCGAGCGCGGCAACGACUGGGCUCAGCUGCUUUGCGAAUAGGGUUAGCGCAAAGAACAUCAUGCCCGUGAUGCCUAGCGUAAUCGGAGUGAUCAUUGCAGCCACGCCCCAUCCGAAGCGGCGGAAGAUGAUACGGCUUGCCAACAUCAUGAUAAUGGUGAACGAGCCCGUGCAAGUCGAGAACCAGCCCAUGAAGGUCGAAUAUGCGUUCGGGUCUGGAUACUGCUCACGGAGCUUGCUCUUCCACGAGACCUCCACAAUAUUGAUGGACAUGCCGUACGCGAUCACCAGAAGGGCCAAGUUGCGAAUAUACGGCGACGCGGCCAGAAACUUGGCUGACUCGACAAGACCCAGCUUGGUUUUCGUCUUGGCUUUCUUCUGACGCGCCGGAUCGACCAAUGUCGGAUCCGUCAUUACUUUGCGCUGCAUGUAGUAGAAAACUCCCACGAUGAUUGAUCCGCAUACCGCCACUGCCCCCAUUAAAUAGCGCAAGCUCACGAGCCAUCCGUCAACACCGGGCGGCAGAUGUUGACGUAUAUCCGAUACGAAACGAACGUACUGACCCGAAAAGAUCAGCGCAACGUUAGCCAUCAGACCAAACACAGGGUACCACUUCUUCGCCUCGUCUACGGUGGUCACCUCAUUCGCAAAUCCCCAGAACAAGAGCGAAACCACCACGGAACCCCAAAGCUCCGCGAGCGUAUAGAACACUGCGGAUGUCCAGUGCCCGAUAAUCGCCAGCGGAGGCGCGAAUGUCGGUGGCAAAUACUGCAGCGCCCAGCUCACAAACCCGCUAGGGUGCAAAAACGCCCUAUUGGGAUAAAGAAACCACGCAUAGCUCAAGAAGAAAAGGAGGAAAGGCGCUAUGCAGAUGUAGAAAACAGUCUCCCGAGAGAACACAUUCGUGAGCUUCGAGUACAAAAUCGUAAACAGCACUGCACCGGGCAAG